UACUUAGUGGCAGACGGGUGAGUAACAUGUGGGUAUCUACCCUUUGGCCUGGAAUAACACGAGGAAACUUGUGCUAAUACCGGAUAAGUCUUUACGGAGAAAGCUUUAUGCACCAUUGGAUGAGCCCGCACUUGAUUAGUUUGUUGGUAGGGUAAUGGCCUACCAAGACUAUGAUCAAUAGCUGAUUUGAGAGGAUGAUCAGCCACAUUGGGACUGAGACACGGCCCAAACUCCUACGGGAGGCAGCAGUGGGGAAUCUUGCACAAUGGAGGAAACUCUGAUGCAGCGAUGCCGCGUGAGUGAAGAAGGCCUUUGGGUUGUAAAGCUCUUUCGUCGGGGAAGAAAAUGACUGUACCCGAAUAAGAAGGUCCGGCUAACUUCGUGCCAGCAGCCGCGGUAAUACGAAGGGACCUAGCGUAGUUCGGAAUUACUGGGCUUAAAGAGUUCGUAGGUGGUUGAAAAAGUUGGUGGUGAAAUCCCAGAGCUUAACUCUGGAACUGCCAUCAAAACUUUUCAGCUAGAGUAUGAUAGAGGAAAGCA
rnacentral:rRNA from 1 species